UACGGAGGGUGCAAGCGUUAUCCGGAUUCACUGGGUUUAAAGGGUGCGUAGGUGGGUCUGUAAGUCAGUGGUGAAAUCUCCAAGCUUAACUUGGAACUGCCGUUGAUACUAUAGAUCUUGAAUGUUGUGGAGGUGAGCGGAAUAUGUCAUGUAGCGGUGAAAUGCUUAGAUAUGACAUAGAACACCAAUUGCGAAGGCAGCUCACUACACAAAUAUUGACACUGAGGCACGAAAAGCGUGGGGGAUCAAAACAGGG
rnacentral:rRNA from 1 species